CUAAAUUCGAUAAUGAGAAGAAGUAAGUUGUAAGGUAGUCCUACAGAGAAUUGGUAUAAGCUGAGAGCCAAUGUUCGAAUUAUAACUGAAAAUCAUCUCCUAGAAGCAACACAGAAAAGAAAUGAGUAAGUGUUGACGUAGUCUUUCCACGUUACAGGAUAAGCGUAUUGAUAGAUACGAACAAAGUGCUAUAAAAAGUUGAGUACGUAUAGACUUUUUAUAGAAUUAGGGUGGUAACGCGGAUAUAAUCCGUCCCUUGA
rnacentral:ncRNA from 1 species